UUAAAAAGUUAGACUUAAUUAGAAAAUCACAUUCACUUUUUUUUUUUUGGGCUAAUUACAAUACCUGCGAGAUAGUAUUUCCCCUCCUCUAGAAUUAGCGUUUAAAAAAAAAAGUUAGAAAGUAUUAAUAGUUCUGAUGAAUAGACAUUGGUAAGGAUAUGAUAUCAAUUUAAUCCACAUCAAUCAAGAUUCCGUCAGAAAGCUUGCCCAUUUCCAUUUCAAUCACUAUACUUGUCCUCUCUGCUCUCAUUUUCCACCCAUGAAGCUUCUCUUUAAUAGAUUGUUAAAGGAUUAAAAAGAUUGAAACAGUCAAACAGAUCUUUCAAAACAUAACCACUAUUAAAGUGAAGAGCCAAAGAAAAAGGUGGGCUGUUGAGGUGAAUAGAAAGAAAAAGAGAGAACUCCAUAGACACGGGCCCGCAGCAUAUUGCAUUUGUUUACUCCUUUCAAGAGGCAGCAUGAUAAACGCUUUUUGGUCCUCUGAUUACUUUAACAUCAUUUCCCAUUAACGUUUUCUUUCAGUUAGAGCUUUAUUUUAUCUCUCAAUGAAACUCCAAUUAUUGAUUCUAUGCUUCUCUGCUCAAUUGUAUGUCCCUUCUGCUAUAAGAUCCAAUGGGUUGACUCUGUUGUCAUUCUUAAAACACUGCACUUAUGUUCCUGCCUUCAUCAAAAGCUUUUGAGAUCCGGUCCUUCUAAUUUCCUCCCUGUGAAACUUCAAAGAAACAGGUCUGAUAUACUUCCAUUGGUAGCUAGAGAGAUCAGUUUUUAUAAAGGGAAAACAGGCGCAGAAACGCAGAGAAAGGAAAGGAAAGGAAACGUAUGAGAGGGAGAGAGGAAGAAGAGAAGAGAAAGGGAUGGAGUUAGGCUUGGAUCUAGGAGUCUUUGCGACUGUUGUGAGCUCGGCUACACGAUAGGUUUAGGCGAAGGAUCCAGUGGUGGACGGGGAAAAGAGCAAAGCUAGGGGUUUGCUUGUGAUUUGUAAACAACUGUAACCCCUUUCUUUUGAGCAAAUAUAUUGUAAUGUAUUUAGGAUUAGGGUGUCGGUAGGAUAUGAUUAUGUAUGUGUGUGUGAAUAGGUGUGGAUUGUGUGCUUGUGUAUGAAUUUUUGUCUAUUUGUAAACUUGUGGCUAGGAAACUUGGUUAUGGUGUGUGGUUUUGAUGGAUUUACUUAGUAGACUAAGUUUCUAUU